AUUGAACGCUGGCGGCAGGCCUAACACAUGCAAGUCGAGCGGAUGAAGGGAGCUUGCUCCUGGAUUCAGCGGCGGACGGGUGAGUAAUGCCUAGGAAUCUGCCUGGUAGUGGGGGAUAACAUCCGGAAACGGGCGCUAAUACCGCAUACGUCCUGAGGGAGAAAGUGGGGGAUCUUCGGACCUCACGCUAUCAGAUGAGCCUAGGUCGGAUUAGCUAGUUGGUGGGGUAAAGGCCUACCAAGGCGACGAUCCGUAACUGGUCUGAGAGGAUGAUCAGUCACACUGGAACUGAGACACGGUCCAGACGCCUACGGGAGGCAGCAGUGGGGAAUAUUGGACAAUGGGCGAAAGCCUGAUCCAGCCAUGCCGCGUGUGUGAAGAAGGUCUUCGGAUUGUAAAGCACUUUAAGUUGGGAGGAAGGGCAGUAAGUUAAUACCUUGCUGUUUUGACGUUACCAACAGAAUAAGCACCGGCUAACUUCGUG
rnacentral:rRNA from 1 species